rnacentral:rRNA from 1 species
GGAGGAAGUAGGGGAUCGCAAGACCUUGCGCUUUUGGAGCGGCCGAUGCCUGAUUAGCUUGUUGGUAAGGUAAAAGCUUACCAAGGCUUCGAUCAGUAGCUGGUCUGAGAGGACGGCCAGCCACACUGGGACUGAGACACGGCCCAGACUCCUACGGGAGGCAGCAGUUGGGAAUUUUGGACAAUGGGGGCAACCCUGAUCCAGCCAUGCCGCGUGAGUGAAGAAGGCCUUCGGGUUGUAAAGCUCUUUCAGCCGGAACGAAACGGUUACGGUUAAUACCCGUGACUAAUGACGGUACCGGAAGAAGAAGCACCGGCUAACUACGUGCCAGCAGCCGCGGUAAUACGUAGGGUGCGAGCGUUAAUCGGAAUUACUGGGCGUAAAGCGUGCGCAGGUGGUUUUGUAAGUCAGAUGUGAAAUCCCCGGGCUCAACCUGGGAACUGCGUUUGAAACUACAAAGCUAG